CACCCGCGGUUAUACGAGAGGCCCAAGUUGACAAAUGCCGGCGUAAAAUGUGGUUAGUUUAUCUGUUAUAUGCUAAAGUCAAACACCUUCAAAACUGUUAUACGCACUUGAAGGCAGGAAGCCCCGCCACGAAAGUGACUUUAAAACUACUACCCCACGAAAGCUAGGGAA
rnacentral:rRNA from 1 species